rnacentral:rRNA from 1 species
CAGUCGCCGCGGUAAUACGAACCGUGCGAACGUUAUUCGGAAUUACUGGGCUUAAAGCGCGUGUAGGCGGGCCGCCACGUCGGUUGCUGAAAUCCCCCGGCUCAACCGGGGAAGUGGCAUCGAUACGAGCGGCCUUGAGGGGGGUAGGGGGAUCUGGAACUUCCGGUGGAGCGGUGAAAUGCGUUGAGAUCGGAAGGAACGCCCGUAGCGAAAGCGAGGUCCUGGACCCUUUCUGACGCUGAGACGCGAAAGCCAGGGGAGCGAACGGGAUUAGAUACCCGAGUAGUCCCUGUCUCUUAUA